rnacentral:rRNA from 1 species
GAUGAACGCUGGCGGCGUGCUUAACACAUGCAAGUCGAACGGAAAGGCCAGUGCUUGCACUGGUACUCGAGUGGCGAACGGGUGAGUAACACGUGGGUGAUCUGCCCUGUACUUCGGGAUAAGCUUGGGAAACUGGGUCUAAUACCGGAUAGGACAACUUUUUGGAUAUUGUUGUUGAAAGCUUUUGCGGUAUGGGAUGAGCUCGCGGCCUAUCAGCUUGUUGGUGGGGUAAUGGCCUACCAAGGCGUCGAGGGGUAGCCGGCCUGAGAGGGUGUACGGCCACAUUGGGACUGAGAGACGGCCCAGACUCCUACGGGAGGCAGAAGUGGGGAAUAUUGCACAAUGGGCGCAAGCCUGAGGCAGCGACGCCGCGUGGGGGAUGAAGGCCUUCGGGUUGUAAACUCCUGUCGCUAGGGACGAAGCUUUUUUGUGACGGUACCUGGAGAAGAAGCACCGGCUAACUACGUG